CUUAUUGUAAUUUGCUUAAGCAGACGUUACGAUACUAAAUUGGCUUCGUAUUAUGCACAGAGGUACUAGCUUCCAAUACCUUCUGAAAUAAGCAAGCAGAAGGGGUAAUUAAAUCUUGUCUUUUUCUUCACAUUGCUCGGCAUGUUCUUUUAUUUUUCUGGCUCCUAUGCUGACAACCCAGCAGGAGAUUUUACAAGCCCAAAAUACCUGAUUACUUCCCAACCCCAGAGAAAGGGACAGAACAUGCUUGGGAAGAAGGAAAGCUAAUGGCAGCUUCGCUGGAGGUGAGAACAGGGUGAAAGUUGAGGAAGCUCAGAGCGGAAUGAAUUCCAAACAGCUUGGGCAGGGCUGACCUCGCCGUCUGCCGUGUCCUGAGAGGCAGGUGUCGCACUGCAGUCACAUCGCUGUUCUUUCAUUGUGUGAUGAAUUUCCAAUACAUCCCCGACAUGGCAGGGGAGGCGGGUUCCAAAGUGGAACCGUGUUCGAGCAUUCUGUCUUCUACUGCUCCCUCAGUGGCGUAAACAUAGAAGUCGUGAUUUGCUUAGAACAACUCCUGGCAAUGAAGGGAGUGGCUGAGACACUGGCCUGGGAUUCCAGGCCUUCCCCAGCAAACGCAUAGUGCAGGCCACCUGCGCUCUGCUCCGGUAAAAAUGCCGCACAGCGUCUGAUGCGUCCGCACUGCCUGGACCUGGGAACACUCAUCCCACAGGAGAAAGAAACCUGAUGUACUCAUCCAUCAGGACCACGACUCUCAGAACACGCAUCCAACUAGCCGUCUGCGGUUGGGUAGAGAGGCCCUGGGGCACACUUUUAGCCCUGCUAGAAAGUUGGCCUCGUAACUGGCCGGCUUAUUCCAGGAAUGUUUUCAUUUUUCUUUCUAAGGUCAACCUGAUCACACUGCCGAGGCUACAAGCACACAAAGGCUGCAGGCACAUAAACAAAAGAUGAAAAAACAGACUCCCGGGCAGAGAAAACAGGGUCAGAGGUGUUGCCGUGCCUGUGAGGCCUUUGCUGGCCGCCUGCGUUCCGGUGGCAGCCAGUGACCGUCCUGCACCUUCCUGCCGACUGCAGAGACCUCAGGCCACCCUUGGCUCUGACCUGUGUUUCCCAGGCUGCCUCUGCACCUGCCUGCUAAAGCCUUCCUCGGUUUCCUUUGGUCUGGUUCCCCAGAAGCAAACCCGAACUCACUAGAAUUAAGACCAGAAUUUGCCUUCAAGCAGGUGAAACUGACAGGGAAGAGGAAGAAGAGGAAGGGGCCCACCCACAGCCUCAUCUCAGGCAAGGUCCCUGGUGCUGCAGUCUGGCCCCAGAGGAGAAUCCUGAGUGUUCACUCUUUCCAGGGGCCGGGGAGUCAGGCUUUCAGACGCUGUCACACAAGUUACCAGAGUGAAGGGGUAAGACUCCAGGCACCCGGCUUGAAGACACAUUGGCCCGGAGUAAACGCUGUUCUGCCAACUGCGGGUGUUGCAGCCAAUUCCUUUCUAAUCCUUAAUUUCCUUGUCUGUAUGAAGGACAGUCAUGGAAGUUGCAUGAGACAUGCAUCCAAUGUUUGCCACAGAGGAAGUCCUCUGCAGGCAUUAACUCUCAUGUUAUUAAAGCGCCUGCCAUUUUAUGGUGACUUCCUCUUUUCACAUUAAUCUGUCUUAUUCUGCUAUCAUCCUUUUCAUGUUACAAACCUGAAAGCUAAUAAAAGAUUACCAAUUCCACUACAGUAUAUAUUCUAUCCUUGGGUCUUUUAUUUUGGCAUAGUCUAAAGCACUGUGCAGCACAUAGAAGUGUCCAAUAAAUCUUUGGCAAAUUAAAGAGAUUGAAGUAUUAAUAGCAUUAACAUUCAUUCUGUAUUUUCUUUGUGCUGGGCCCCGUCCUAAGUGUUUUACAUGCUUGAACUCCUUUAAUCUUUACUAACCGUCUUGAAACGUAAGUACUGUAUGAAUGAAAUACAUUUUUGAUGAAUUAAAAGAAUGCCGUUUUUGUUGCCAUAGCAACACGGGUCUGAAAAUAUGAAUCCAAGUUUAGAAGCCGUAAUCAUUGUUUUCUGCCUCAGUUUUAAUGUGCUGUUGAAGGUAUUUAUAUGAAAAUAGCUACAGCAAGGGACCUGCCCCCAGGGCGAUUUUUAUCAUCGAUGUCAUUGCUUCCCAAGAUUGAAAGCGGUUGUUCUAAAAUCUGGAUCCCCAAAAUCUGGUAGGGCAGCAUUUCGUGAACUAAGGCACCCAGACCCAGGAGGUCCUUGGUAACAUUUCAGAGACCUGUAAAACCAAAGGAGGAAAGUUGGUAGGUAUUUAGGAAGUUGGGUUUGGAUUCAAUUGUUAAACAACUUAAAACAUUAGUUUCUAGUGAAA
rnacentral:lncRNA from 10 species